rnacentral:rRNA from 1 species
UACAGAGGUCCCAAGCGUUGUUCGGAUUCACUGGGCGUAAAGGGUGCGUAGGCGGUCGGGUAAGUCUGACGUGAAAUCUUCAAGCUCAACUUGGAAACUGCGUCGGAUACUAUUCGGCUAGAGGAAAGGAGGGGAGACUGGAAUACUUGGUGUAGCAGUGAAAUGCGUAGAUAUCAAGUGGAACACCAGUGGCGAAGGCGAGUCUCUGGACAUUUCCUGACGUUGAGGCACGAAAGCCAGGGGAGCAAACGGG